UCAGUAUUAUUCUUCUCUUCAACUACCUCAACUCCUACUCCAGCAUCUAGUUCUCUACCAGAGGAGCCUACUGCAGUUGAUGCACUGGGACAGAUUAUAUCAGCUGCACCUUGAGGUAUUGUUUUAUGACUAGACUCAAUGUUAAAUGGAAGUAGACUUAUGACAAAUUCUGAGGUUUGUGGUUGAGUCAGUUUUUUUAAGAAUCCUGACUUGAAAGGAAAAUCUAGUUCAUUGAAUAUGACAUAUCUAGAUAUAUAAAUUCUACCACUAGAGCUUAGGCACUUAAAUCCUUUGUAUGAAUCACCAUAACCAAGAAAGGCGCAUUUUCAUGAAUGGAAAUCAAGUUUGUAUUUCUGGUAUGGUCUGAGGCAAGGGUAACAAGCACAUCCAAAAAGUUUGAGUGUUUUGUAAUCAAAGUUUCUUCCAUACAACGCUUGAAAGGGAGACUUGUAUUGUAAUAUAGGUGUGGGUAGUCUGUUGAUCAAGUAUGUUGCUGUUUUGAAGAACUCCCACCAGUAAUGUAAGGGCCUUUGAGCCUGAGCCAAGAGUGCUAGGCCGGUCUCAGUGAUGUGCCUCUGUUUCCUCUCUGCCCGACCAUUUUGCACAGAAGUAUAAGGGCAAGAAUGUCUAAGUUCAAUUCCAGAUUCCAAGGUAAUUUUAUAAGAGUUCCUGAACUCACCUUCCCAGUCAGAUUGAAAGAUUUUAAUCUUUCUCUCAAGCUUAUUUUCAACCAAAUUUUUGAAUUGUGUAAAGAUGCUUAGUGCCUCAUAUUUGUGUUUCAUAGGGUAGAUCCAAGUAAACCUGCUAUGAUCAUCCACAAAAAUGAUAUAAUACCUAAACCCUGAGGUAUAAUUCUUGGGAGCUAGUCCCCAGAUGUCUGUAUAGAUUAGGUCCAAAGGAUUUAAUGAAUGUGAUGAGGACAUGUGAAAUGGCAAUGCAUGGGAUUUGCCAAGUUGACAUGGUUCACAGAAAGCUGGAAUUUCAUUAACUUUGGUGGAUUUAUUUCAAGACUUCAGGACUUGACUCAACACAUGAUUUGAUGGAUGACUUAGCCUUCUAUGCCAUAUAUCAACUUCAAACUCUAACUCGACUUCUUUGGUUGACUCGUCACAACUGGAAUUCACUAUAAAGUAGUUGGAAUUAUUCUGGUGGCUUGACUUUGGGUUUGGUGCCUUCAGCUGAUAUAAACCAUCCUUAAGCAUCCCUUGCAGCAGGGUCUUCCUGGUUUUCAGAUCCUUCACAACACAAUGGUCAGGAAAAAACUCAAUGAACACAUUGUUAUUAUAUGUAAACUGAGAUACACUGAUUAAGUUCUUUUUUAUUUCAGGCACAUGUAAUAGUUUAUUCAGUGUAAGAGUGUUAUCUAUUGUAGAAAUACUUCAUUUCCUAAUAUGUGCAAUUUCUAAUGAGUUUCCAUUAACAACUAGCAAUUUCUCCUUACCAUUAUUUUUCUUAGUUAUGCCCAGGUUACCUUUAUCUACUAUAACAUGGUUGCUGGCACCAAAAUCAGCAAACCAAGCUCGAUCUUCGAUGAUUCUCGGUGUAGCAGCAUAUGCAGAAGGAGUUGAGGUACUACCUUGAUGGUUUUGAUUGCUAGGUCUGCUCCCCAUGUAUCUGUCAUCAUACCUAUUAAAACACCAACUAGCUGAGUGGUUAUUCAAUCCACAGAUUUGGCAUGGUCCUUGAUUUUCACUUGUCCUGCCUACUCUUCAUCUGCCUCUUGUUCUUCCUCUGAAGUUUGUGUACUUUCCACCACUUUCAGCUCUGAAGGUUCUACCACCACCUGAUCCAGACCUUUGAGCCAACUGUACACUUGAAUGACUGACAUUCAAAGAUGCUAAGCCAUUCUUGACUUGAUUAAGAUGUUCAAGCCUGCUUUCGAAGGUCAUAAGAACUGAUGACAGCUCAUACCACUACAUAUCAUCCCUACUGUUCAUUUGCACCACAAUGGGUGUGUAUUCUUCAUCAAGUCCUGUAAGAACUUGGGUUACAAGAUCACUAUGAUCCACCUUUUUUCCUGCUAUUUGCAGGUUAUCAGCCGGCUGCUUAAUGGUGGUAAGGUACUGAUCCAUAGUCAUAGAGCCUUUUCUAGUUCUCUGCAACUCUCCAGUGAGGAAUGUCACUCUUGAUCUAUUCAAUAUUUCAUAGCUUUCUUUGACUGCAUUCCACAAACUACUUGAGCUAGUGCAUUCCAUGAUCCUCAUAGCAAUUUUAGGGGUCAUGGAUGAAUACAACCAUCCUAUGAGUAACUGAUCAGUUGACAUCCAUCUACUGUAAUCUGGAUUCUGGGUCACUUUUAUGGCUUCUCUUGCUUUAGUAGUAAUCUGGGUACUAAGGAACUCAGGUGGACAUUGUUUUGUUCCCAGCAAGUAGCCUUCAAGAUUGUGGUCUUUGAUUAUAGGCAUAACCAUAUUCUGCCAUAAGAGAAAGUUGUUUUUGUCAAGCUUUACUGAUGGAGUUUCUGUGGAUGAUGAAGGAUUCAACUCGGUUGAAGGAGCUUGAACACUAGAACCGGUGCUAGCCAUUUUGUCUCUGAUUCCAAGUCAGAAAUUAAACGAAUUUGAUGGAGAAUUUUUUGAUACUGAUCUUUAUAUUUCAUCUGCCUUUUAUACACAGGAAAUCUAUACAAGCAUUUACAUACAAAAGGAAUAUUCUAAUUCCACUAACUUCUGCCAUGUGACAUAACCGUAUUUGUUCCACCAUCCACAACAGAUUCAGUUAGUCAGCCCCCUUUUGCUGUUAUGUUGGUUCGAAUAUUCUAACAUCAAUAAGAGAAGCAAUCUUAUAGAGUUAUGGAAAGAAACAGAGAUUUGAGGAGAGUGAGCAUGGCUGUUAUCAAUUGGGUACCAAGAGGACAAUACAAAAUCAACAGCAUCCGUGAUUCACAUGCUUGGAAAAAUCAAUGAAAAUAAACAAUAUUUUGAUAUAUUCCUUUAACUUUUGGAGAUUUUUGUUAAUGAUUUUAUUUGUUUGUUGUUUGGGGCAGAUGGACAAGUAGAAUUACUAGAAAAAGUGUACAGAGAUAAAAAAGCGAGGGCAAAAGUAAAAUAGGGGUCGAGAAGGUUCGAAGAGAAGAAGAUUUGAGAGAGAUGUUGUACACCAUCGAAGAGCUGGUGGAAGUAACGGAGAUGUGGGGACUGGAGGUGGUGAUGCGGAUUGCAUGGAUGACAGUUGGGAGAAAGAUUUUGAAGAGGAAGAUAAUGGAAAAUUUCUUCUUAAUCAGAUGGAUCACACGGUGCCAUCAUCUAAUGAUCAGAGUCAGCAACAGAGUCUUUGAUAAGGUCAUCGUCAGCAUUGAGGAUCUUCGACGACAUUAUCGGUGUUCCAAUCCCCAAAACUCAGUCUGGUAUAUUAUUAAGGACACCUGAAAAUUAUUACUAUUAAUGAAAUGGUUCGAUUGAAUAAUUAUGUAAUUAUUUCAAUUUAAUAUGGUUAUAAUCAAUUGAUUUUCAUUUUUAAGCUUCGUCAAAAAGGUUGUACGAGUACUGCAAUCUUGGGAGUGGAGAAUCCAGGAAAGACAUAAGUCGUUGAAGAUUUUCUCCGUCGGAAGGUGGUGACAUUGUUGCGCCAUUGUCUUUGGGCGUUUGUUUGAAGGAGAAGAUGCUCGGCUUUUCUGUAUGGAUUUUUCUUUUUCAUGAGAAUUGUUUUGGUCCUCAUAAUUCAGUAGCUCACAUCUCCAGUUGUAUUUAAUGAAAUUAGCAGGCGGAGAUUUCUUGAUAAUUUUGCAAAAAUCAUUGGGCCAUUGAUAAGUGUGUUUUUACACACUUAUUUAGCUUACAAACAUGACUUAAACAUGGACAAAGUAGUUGAAUUGUGACUUAAUCUCGUUAAAUUCAUGCAAUGUAGGUGUUUCUAUGGAAAAGAUGGAAUUCAGAAGAAAAGAGCCGAAAAAGGACCAAAAUGGAACAAAGUGAUAGUUCGGGGACCAAAGGUGCAACUAUUGGAAAGUUGAGCUAAAGUGCAGAACGAGAAUGAAAAUAUGCCAAGUAUGAGAUUGAGGACGAUACAAGACGAUCGGAGGAAGAAAGAAGUAAUAUUGGACUGAAUUGAAGAAAAGUGAAAGAUGAAGGACUAAAUUGCAAUUAAUCAAAAGAUGAGUUGAGCAAGUGAUCAGGGAAUUGAUUGACCCAAACAUCAAUUAGGAGUCAAUAUUUGAUGAUGGAACAAAGGAAAUAAAGAAAAGAAAUCAAGAAAAGAGAAAACGAAGUUCAGGGACCAAAACAGUAAGGUUGAAAAUUACAACCAUGCGGCCGCACAGAACUGAACCAUGCGGCGGCACAUAAGGUUGUAGGGAUUUCAUUGAGGUAGUUCACUUGAACCAUGCGGUCGCAUGGUUAUAAAAAUCGAAGAAAAUUCUGAACUUGCGUUUUUAAUUAAAACUCUAUCGGGGCUCCGUGAGGAUAUGAUAUAAAAGCCAAAAUUCAUCAGAAAUAGGGUAGAACGUCCAGGGGGAAGAAAAUUACAACUUUUGGAGGCAAGAAACACGAUCUUGAAGCCGAUUCCACAAGAAUUCAAGCGGGUUUUCAAGGCUUUAUUCAAGAUUUCAAGAAAUUCUCAUACGGGUGCUAUUCUUUCAAUUUAUUAAUUUCGUUUUCUAUUCUGUAAUUAUGAAUAUUCUAUGCUAGGUUUUCAAUUCACUAGGUGAUCGAUGAAACGUUGUUUGUUAUUUUAAUUCCAUACUUCAUGAAUUUAAUACAAAGACUCGUUUGGAUAAUUUGAUUGGUUUAUAUGCAUUGAUUUUCUUCCGCAAUUAGUGGUCAAUGAUUGUGUGAGUGUUGAUGACUUAUUUCUUACAUUCGAGAGAAGUGGAAUAGGUUCGAUAAAGUGUAAAUCAACAUAGGGUCCGAUAGGGGAUAGAGAUAUACCCCUAUGCUUUAUGCAAUUCUCUAAUUGUUCACAAAACCACAUGCAUUCUUGUAUAUUUGCAUCAUCCAUAGAAAUAUAGGCUGGUGGUGUGCAACAAUAGGUCUAAUAUAUAUCGAGAGAAUAUGUUGGAUAGAUUUAGGAAUAUUGAAUUGGCGAAUUUCCAUCGGGUCAUUGAUUUAAUGAAAUUAGGGUUUUUAUAACUUCAAUUGGGGAUUCGUGAUCCUAGUGACUUUAUUUUGAUUCAUUUCCAUAAAUUAGCUUUUGAAUUUGCAUAAUUUCAUUUACUUGAGAAUGUUCCUUUAAUACUGGACAGACCAUUCUUGGCCACAGGCAGAGCUUUGAUCGAUGUUUAGAAUGGGCAGUUGAUACUAAGAUUGGGAGAAGAAUAGGUUUCAUUCAAUGUCUUCAAGGCUAUGAAACUGCCAACAGAGACUGACAGAUGUUUCAGGGUUGACAUGAUUGAUAAAAUGAUUGAAGAGUCGUUUACACUGCAAAAUCCAUCAGAUGCAUUGGAGGCCUGCAUUGCACAUUCUAAAUCCACAAAUUCUGAUUCUGUGGACAUAGAAAUGUGUGCAAGAUUUUUGGAGUCCAACCCACCUUACACACGAAAACGAUACUUUGAGGAGCUUGGGACAGGGCCUGAGAAAUCACAGCCAUCUAUUCUGAAGCCACCAAAGUUGGAAUUUAAGCAGCUGCCCCCACACCUAAGAUAUGCAUAUUUGGGGGAGUUUAAUACACUUCCAGUGAUAAUUUCAAACAUGGUCAGUGAAGUGGAGGAGGAAAAACUGCUUAGGGUGCUUAAAGAUAACAAGCAAGCAAUUGGGCAGACCAUAGCUGAUAUCAAAGGGAUCAGCCCUUCCUUAUGUAUGCAUAAAAUUCUUAUGGAGGGGAAUUUUCGACCAACAGUUGAAAGUCAAAGGAGGAUAAACCCAAACAUGAAGGAGGUGGUAAGAGCUAAGGUGAUCAAACUUCUAGAUGCUAGAAUGAUCUACCCGAUAUCAGAUAGUAAAUGGACUAGUCCAGUGCAAGUUGUGCCCAAGAAAGGAGGAAUUACAGUGGUUCAGAAUAAAAAGAAUGAGUUGAUUCCGACAAGGACGGUAACAGGAUGGAGAGUUUGCAUUGAUUACCGCAAACUAAAUACCGUUACAAGGAAAGAUCACUUCCCUUUUCCGUGUAUAGAUCAGAUGUUGGAGAGAUUGGUAGGCCAUUCCCAUUUUUGUUUUCUGGAUGGGUAUUCGGGUUAUAAUCAGAUACUAGUGGCAUCGGAUGAUCAGAAGAAGACCACCUUCACAUGCCCCUAUGGCACCUUUGCAUACCGAAGAAUGCCAUUUGGACUUUGCAACGCUCCUGCUUCAUUUCAGCGAUGCAUGAUGGCAAUUUUCUCAAAUAUGGUAGAGAAAUUCAUUGAAAUCUUUAUGAAUGACUUCUUGGUCUUUGGGACCUCAUUUGAUGAGUGUUUGGAUCACUUAAAUUUGGUUUUGCAAAGAUGUAGAGAAACGAACUUAGUAUUGAACUGGAAGAAAUGUCAUUUCAUGGUUCAAGAGGGAAUAGUCUUGGGACAUAGAGUAUCGGCAAAGUGGAUAGAGGUGGAUAAGGCGAAAAUUCAGGUUAUUGAGAAACUACCACCACCUACAUCAGUAAAAGGAGUUCAAAGCUUCCUUGGACAUGCUGGUUUUUAUAGGAGGUUUAUAAAGGACUUCUCCAAAAUCACCAAGUCUCUGUGCAACUUGCUAAUGAAAGAGGUAUCUUUUGAAUUUAAUGAGGAAUGUUUGAUAGCGUUCAAUACUUUGAAGCAAAAAUUAACAACGGCACAUGUGAUUGUGUCACCUAAUUGGGAUUUGCCCUUUGAGCUAAUGUGCGAUGCGAGUGAUCAUGCAGUUGGUGCGGUAUUGGGACAAAGAAAGAAUAAAAUUUUUCAUGUGAUAUACUAUGCAAGUAAAACUUUGAACGACGCCCAAAUCAACUAUGCGACAACCGAGAAGGAAUUACUAGCUGUGGUUUAUGCAUUCGACAAGUUCAGAUCGUAUCUCGUUGGGUCUAAGGUCAUCGUCUACACAGAGCAUGCCGCUCUGAAGUACCUUAUGACAAAGAAGGAUGCUAAGCCGAGAUUGAUCCGCUGGAUAUUGUUGUUACAAGAGUUCGAUAUUGAGAUCAAGGAUAAGAAGGGCAGUGAAAAUGUGGUAGCCGACCACCUAUCAAGAUUGGAACGGGAUGAACCUGAGAUGUCAGUUGACAUCAAUGAAAUCUUUCCAGAUGAGCAAAUUUUUGGAGUAGAAAUAGUCCCAUGGUACGCUGAUAUUGUUAACUACCUUGCUAAGUCCAUUCCUCCACCAGAGUAUUCUAGCCAUCAAAGAAAGAAGCUCUUCGUAGAGCUGAAGUAUUACUUUUGGGAGGAUCCCAUUCUGUAUAGAAGAGGCGCAGAUCAUAUAAUCAGAAGAUGCAUUCCUGAAGAUGAAGUACCGGAGAUUCUAGAGCAUUAUCACUCUUCUACAUACGCUGGGCAUUUUGGAACUUCAAAGACUGCUGCAAAAAUUCUACAGUCGGGUUUCUAUUGGCCUACUUUAUUCAGAGACACAUUUGAGUAUGUGAAGAGAUGCGAUAGAUGCCAACGAACCGAAAAUAUCUCAAGAAGAAAUGAGAUGCCACUAAACUACAUCUUGGAGGUUGAAAUAUUUGAUGUAUGGGGAAUAGACUUUAUGGGACCUUUUCCCCCAUCGUACUCAAAUCAAUAUAUCUUGGUGGUCGUUGACUAUGUCUCUAAGUGGGUGGAAGCUGCUGCAUUGCCUACCAACGACGCAAAAGUGGUAAUAGAGUUCUUGAAGAAGUACAUAUUUACAAGAUAUGGUACGCCGAGGGCGAUAAUAAGUGAUGGAGGCAAACACUUCAUAAAUCGUCAAUUAGAGCAGCUGUUGAACAAAUAUAGGGUGAAACAUAAAGUAGCAACUCCAUAUCAUCCNNNNNNNNNNNNNNNNNNNNNNNNNNNNNNNNNNNNNNNNNNNNNNNNNNNNNNNNNNNNNNNNNNNNNNNNNNNNNNNNNNNNNNNNNNNNCAGAGGCGAGAGUUUGAAGUUGGCCAGAAAGUGUUAUUGUACAAUUCUAGACUCAAACUCUUCCCAAGAAAGCUAAGAACAAGGUGGUCGGAUCCUUAUACCAUAACUAAGGUGAUGCAAUAUGGGGCUAUUGAAGUGAGUCAUGAGACCAAAGGUACUUUCAUCGUCAAUGGGCAAAGACUAAAACAUUAUUGGGGCUGUAAUUUCCCUAAGCAGAAGUCCACUGUGCAACUCAGCAAUCCAAUGUGAAGAAGACACAGGAAAGUCGAGCUAUCGACUAUAAACUAGCGCUAGGUGGGAGGCAACCCACUGUAUCCUUCAAUUUAUUNNNNNNNNNNNNNNNNNNNNNNNNNNNNNNNNNNNNNNNNNNNNNNNNNNNNNNNNNNNNNNNNNNNNNNNNNNNNNNNNNNNNNNNNNNNNNNNNNNNNNNNNNNNNNNNNNNNNNNNNNNNNNNNNNNNNNNNNNNNNNNNNNNNNNNNNNNNNNNNNNNNNNNNNNNNNNNNNNNNNNNNNNNNNNNNNNNNNNNNNNNNNNNNNNNNNNNNNNNNNNNNNNNNNNNNNNNNNNNNNNNNNNNNNNNNNNNNNNNNNNNNNNNNNNNNNNNNNNNNNNNNNNNNNNNNNNNNNNNNNNNNNNNNNNNNNNNNNNNNNNNNNNNNNNNNNNNNNNNNNNNNNNNNNNNNNNNNNNNNNNNNNNNNNNNNNNNNNNNNNNNNNNNNNNNNNNNNNNNNNNNNNNNNNNNNNNNNNNNNNNNNNNNNNNNNNNNNNNNNNNNNNNNNNNNNNNNNNNNNNNNNNNNNNNNNNNNNNNNNNNNNNNNNNNNNNNNNNNNNNNNNNNNNNNNNNNNNNNNNNNNNNNNNNNNNNNNNNNNNNNNNNNNNNNNNNNNNNNNNNNNNNNNNNNNNNNNNNNNNNNNNNNNNNNNNNNNNNNNNNNNNNNNNNNNNNNNNNNNNNNNNNNNNNNNNNNNNNNNNNNNNNNNNNNNNNNNNNNNNNNNNNNNNNNNNNNNNNNNNNNNNNNNNNNNNNNNNNNNNNNNNNNNNNNNNNNNNNNNNNNNNNNNNNNNNNNNNNNNNNNNNNNNNNNNNNNNNNNNNNNNNNNNNNNNNNNNNNNNNNNNNNNNNNNNNNNNNNNNNNNNNNNNNNNNNNNNNNNNNNNNNNNNNNNGUCUAGGCACUACACGCUUAUAGUUGCAUGAGUCGGGGCUAAAUAAAGUGUUUUGGGUGUUUGAGUGUGAAGUAAUGCAUCUCAUGGUUCAAAGUUGUUCGUUUUAUUUUAUUUUCUGAGAUGCUUUCAAAAACUUUUGUAAAGAAUUGGUUUUGGUGCCAAGUUUUCGAUAAGCAUAUUCCCUUUCAAGUNNNNNNNNNNNNNNNNNAUAUAUAUAUAUAUAUAUAUAUAUAUAUAUAUUGGCUUUGUCCAUACCGAACCAAAACUGGUGGACCUCAACUACACCAUGCGGUCCGCAUGGUGUAUAAGUGACGGGUUUUAAACCCGUCACUUGCAAAUCCCACCCCAUUUUCCCCAUUUCACCCCACACGAACACGCCAUUUCUCCCUUCCCCAAUCCACCUUCACACACAAUCAAUCACCCACACAUCAAAUCUUCACCCUAGCACCACAUUUUCCUCUUCAUUGGGAUUGAUAUCAAGAAUAUUGAAGCAUAACACUCCACUUUCAUCUCACAAAGAUCUCAAGGUAAGAACUUUAAUUUCCAUGCAAAGACUGAAGUAAAUUCUUUGAUUUUUUGACUUUUUCGAGUUGGUUGAGUGUUGAAAUGUGAUUGAAUUGUGAUUUGUGGAUUAGCCCUAAGUGUAAAUCAAUAACAAAGCGUUAGAAAUUCCCAAUGCACACAACGUGUUUGAUUAAAUGUCAAUGACACAUAAGAUUUGAAAUUUUGGAUCUUUCAUUUGUGUAAUGAUUUACAUUGUUAUUGUGAGGCGUAAUAGACAACAAAUCUCAUGGAAUUUCAUUAGAACACAUUCGCCUCACAUAUUUGUGCACAUAAACACAUAAUUGCUAAGCCAUGUCAACUCACGUCACUAACUUCGUCCAUGUAUUUUCCUAACCAAACGACCUUCGAUUGUAGUGAAAUUUGGAUAUAUGCUAGACCAUAAUGAGUACUUUCAUAUGUUCGGACCUUGUCCGGGGAAAUUUUAAUAUUUCUCGGUGAUGCUCGGGGCUGAAGAUGGUCACUUAGUCAUGAGUCGAAUUUUCAAAAAGUGCAUGUUAGAGCCAUAGUUUUGAGUUUUUCUCAUUAAUACAAUACUGAUGUUACAUUGACUUCAAUACGUUGAAUAUUGCACACAUUUUGAAGAAAGUUUGGGGGAUUCUUGCAUGUCAAUGAUAUUCUUUGUCGUUUUCUUAUUUCAAGAACUUGAUACACUUUGUUCCUUACUUUUGUAGGAUGCCGCUGAAGAGAACAUCAAAAGGAAAAGAAAAAGUUGGUUCCUCCUCCGGUACAGCCUGCACUAGAGAGCUAAUAGGAGGUGUACGAAGAUUCCGAGAUGCAGAAACAUUAGCUCGAUACGAGAACAUAAUACGCCAUUGGGGCAUGAUACCAGAGAGACAGGUUCGGUUAGAGGACUUCCAUGGUUUUGAGUUGACAAAUCUGAUACAAAUCUGUGGAUGGGAUAAAAUUGUAGAAAAGCCACACCCGAUUUAUGAAAGUAUAGUCUGCGAAUUUUAUGCAAACUUUAAUAGUGAAAUUGAGACUCCGGAUUCUGAAAACUUACACCAUACGUGGGUGCGAGGUAAGUGGAUAAUGUUCUCCCCAGUCGUCAUUCAUGAUUUCUACAAUCUUAAUUUGGACAAUGUGGUCCCGAUUCCCACUCAAUUCAAUUGGAAUGAAGUGGCGGAGGUUCUCUUGGGAAGAGAAAAUGCUUGGCCCCUACCCACUGCAGAGUGGCAUCAAAUUGAGUUUACUCCCUCCGUAGCCAUCCUCUGGGUCUUCAUGUGCCAUAAUAUCAAACCCACAUUGCAUCGGACAACUUUCACGGAUCAAACUGCUGGGUUCAUAUAUCAUUUAGUUCGGGGAUGCAAAGUUGAUUUGGCUACUCUUAUCUAUGACCAGAUACAAAAUUUGGGAACCUGGAGAGAUAGGCGAUCUUCGAUGAUCUUUCCUAGUCUGAUUAGCAGGAUAUGUCUCGUCGUCGGUGUUACAGUUGAGGCAGGGAAGAUGCCUGAGAAAUCAAGCCCAUUGAUAAAGCUCACAACAUUUGAAGCUCAAGAACGAGCUAGGGUAAGGAAGAGAGAACAAGACCGACUUGAACAGUAAAGACAUAAUACGCAGGAAGAAGGACAAGCAGCUGAAGAUAUACACUAUGCGGUUGCAUAGUGCAAAACCCGUGACCACUACACUAUGCGACCGCAUAGUGUUGCACUAUGCGGUUGCAUAGUGCAAAACCCGUGACCACUACACUAUGCGACCGCAUAGUGUUGCACUAUGCGGUCGCAUAGUGCAAAACCAAAGCCUCCUUUGGCUUUCGGUUAAGGUCUAUGCGGUCGCAUAGACCAAACCGGGUUUAAAAUUUAUUAUUUUUUUUAGAAAUAAAAUAGAAUAAUAAUAAAAAGAGUGCCAUUUUUGUCAAAUAUUUUUUUUUUUUAUAACUUAAAAUUUAAACUCCCCCAAAAUCGGUUUUUUUACUUAAAAAUUUGACUCCAAAAGAGGAAUAUGCUUAUCGAAACUUGGUACUAAAACCGAUUUUUCAUAAAUGUUGUCGCGCAUUCUGGAAGCUUAACCAAAACGAACAUCGUCGUACAUCGGAAUGCGUGACACACACUCGAACACCCAAAUACUUCAUUUAGCACCCAUUCAUGCAACAUUAAACGUUUAAGGCCUAGGCUAUCAUGCAAAAGAUGAUCGAUGACCUAAGAAACAAAUUAUACUCAAACAAAUUCCUAAACUAGUGCAAUGCAAUAAAAUAAAAUAAGGAUACAGUGGGUUGCCUCCCACUCAGCGCUAGAUUAUAGUCGAUAGCUUGACUUUAUCAUAUUGUGUCAUUCUGGUGAUCCAAGAUGGACGGUAGACUUGUCCUUUGAGAAAUCACCGCCCCAAUAGUGCUUCAAACGCUGUCCAUUAACUUUGAAUAUCCCCUUGCUGUCGUGAGUGAUCUCAAUUGCCCCAUGUGGAAGCACUUGUGUAAUGGUAUAUGGACCAGACCAUCUCGAUCUCAAUUUUCCUGGAAACAGCUUAAGCCUGGAGUUAUACAGCAACACUUUUUGCCCCACUUGAAAGUCACGCCUCUGGAUAUGCAUGUCAUGUCAUUUCUUGGUGCGCUCUUUGUAGAUCUUUGAGUUCUCAUAGGCUUCCAUUCUGAGUUCAUCAAGUUCAUUCAGUUGUAACAGCCGUUUUUCACCUGCAGCCUUCAAAUCCAAGUUCAACUUCUUCAUUGCCCAGUAAGCAUGAUGUUCGAUCUCGAGAAGUAGAUGGCAUGCUUUCCCAAAAACCAGUCGAUAUGGAGACAUUCCUAUAGGAGUCUUGAAUGCAGUCCUGUAGGCCCAUAAGGCAUCAUCCAGUUUCUUUGACCAAUCCUUUCGUGAUGAAUUAACUGUGACUUCCAGAAUACGCUUCAAUUGCCUAUUGGAUACUUCGACCUGUCCGCUGGUUUGGGGAUGAUAUGCGGUGGCUAUGCGGUGCUUGACACCAUAUUUUGAUAACAACUGCUCGAACUGACGAUUGCAAAAAUGUGUGCCCCCGUCACUGAUUAUGGCUCUCGGUGUCCGAAACUGGGUGAAAAUAUUCUUCUUCACAAACUCAAUCACCACUUUCCCAUCAUUUGUAGGCAAUGCAACCGCUUCAACCCAUUUCGAGACAUAGUCCAUCGCCACUAAAAUGUAUUGAUUUGAGAAAGAUGGUGGGAAUGGCCCCAUGAAAUCGAUCCCCCAGACGUCAAAUAAUUUCACCUCCAAGAUACUACUCAAAGGCAUCUCAUUUCUUCUAGAGAUGUUACCCGUGCGCUGACAUCGGUCACACCUCUUUACAAAUUCAAACGAGUCCUUAAAGAGUGUGGACCAGUAAAAACCUGAUUGGAGAAUUUUCGCGUCUUAGAAGCACCAAAAUGCCCUGCAUAUAGUGAUGAGUGACAGUUCUUUAAUAUCAAAGGCACUUCUUCCUCUGGUACACAACGCCGAACGAUUUGAUCAGCCCCCCGCCUGUAGAGAAUAGGGUCUUCCCAAAAGUAGUACUUCAAUUCCGCGAAGAAUUUCUUCUUUUGGUGACUUGAGUAAUCUGGCGGUAUAAUAGACCUGGCUAAAUAGUUAACUAUGUCUGCAUACCAGGGUGUUUCCCUCACACCAAAGAUCUGCUCAUUUGGGAAGAUCUCGUUUAUUUCCACUGUCUCUUCCUGUUCUGUGUCCUCAAGCCGAGAUAGGUGGUCCGCUACCACGUUUUCACUGCCUUUCUUAUCCUUGAUUUUCAGGUCAAACUCUUGAAGUAGCAAUAUCCAACGGAUGAGGUGUGGCUUAGCAUCCUUCUUCUCCAUCAAGUUGAUUCCUCCUUUCUUGGGAACAACUUGCACUGCACUGAUCCAUGCACUAUCUGAUAUUGGAUAAAUAAUGCCCGCAUCUAGCAACUUCAAUACUUCAGCUCUAACUACUUCCUUCAUGUGUGGAUUCAAUCUCUGCUGCUCAUCAAUGCUUGGUUUAAAUUUUUCCUCCAUGAGUAUCUUAUGCAUGCAUAUAGAUGGGCUAAUCUCCUUUAUAUCUGCAAUAGACCAUCCAAUAGUUGUUUUAUUCUCCCUUAACACCCGAAGUAGUUUCUCUUCCUCUACCUCACUGAUAGUGUUUGAAAUAAUAACAGGUAGUGUAGAAGAUUCUCCCAGGUACGCAUAUCGAAGAUGUGGUGGCAGUUGUUUGAGUUCCAAUUUGGGUGGUUUCACAAUAGAUGGCACUGAUUUUGCAGUUCUAGUUCUCAGCUCUUCAUAGUAGCGUCUGCGCAUAUAUGGUUGGUUACUCUCCAAAAACCUAGCACAUGUCUCGAUCUCACUUGAUUCAGAGUGGGUGGAUUGUGAAUGUGCAAUGCAUGCCUUGUAUGCAUCGGAAGGAUGAUGUAGCCGAAAUGUGUCUUGAACUAUUCGGUCGACUACAUCUAUCUGGAAACAACUGUCUGACUCAUUAGGGAAUUUCAUUGCUUUGAACACGUUGAAUGAGAUUUGCUCGUCACCAAGCCUUAAUAUCAGCUGCCCCUUCUGAACAUCUACAAUUUCUCUCCCAGUGGCUAAGAAAGGUCGCCCCCAAAAUGAGUGGGACAUCUUUAUCUUCUUCCAUGUCCAAGAUAAGAAAAUCAGCUGGAAAUAUGAACUUUUCCACUUUUACCAGCACGUCUUCAAUGAUUCCUCUUGGAUGUGUAAGGGAUCGAUCUGCUAACUGCAAUGUCACUAUUGUGGCUUUUGCUUCUCCCAGGCCGAGUUUCCUGAAAAUAGAAAGAGGCAUUAGAUUAAUACUUGCACCCAAAUCACACAAAGCUUUAUCAAAAUAACAGUCUCCAAUAGUGCAGGGUACAGUAAAACUCCCUGAAUCUUUCAGUUUUGGGGGUAGCUUUCUCUGGAUUCUGGCGCUGCAUUCCUCAGUCAACAUUACUGUUUCGUGUUCUUCUAUCUUUCGCUUGUUGGAGAGGAUAUCCUUCAAGAAUUUUGCAUAGCUCGACAUCUGGACAAGUACUUCAGCAAAUGGUAUGUUGACAUGCAGUUUCUUGAAGACUUCAAGGAACUUACUGUAUUGCUGAUCCAUUUUGUGCUUUCUCAACCUUUGUGGAAACGGAAUAGGAGGCUCAUGAGGGUUAACAGGAUUAGUAUUUUUACCCUGUGAUGUCUUGGAAUUCCUCUUAACCUCAUCUCCUGUUUCAUUGUCAGUUUGCUCCAAACUUCCUUCCUCCAAGAUUGGCAUUGCUUCCUUGUUGGCUCCCAAACUUGUUACAUGUGGUUCCGGCAGUUGUACUCCACUUCUGGUUGUUAUAGCCUUUGCAUGUUCCUUAGGGUUAACUUCAGUAUUGUUGGGUUGGUUUCCCGGUGCUCUACCUGUUAUGGAAAUUGCUAUCUGUCCCACUUGUGUCUCCAAGUUCUUGAUCGCUGCACUUUGAUCUUGAAGCGUUGUUUCCGUCCUUUGCAUAAAUUGGUUAUUGGCUUCCAUUUAUUGAUUGGUGCGUGUCAUAAAUUUCUCGAACAUGUCCUCCAAAUUUGGCUUUUUGUCUUGCUGCUGAUAUUGCCCUUGUGGUCUAUUUUGAUUCUGGUUGCUCCAAGAGAAAUUUAGGUGUUUUCUCCAGCCUUGAUUGAAAGUUUCUGAAUGUGGGUUAUUCUGCUGGCGCUGACCCCAUUGUGCAAAUUCUGCAUGUUCUACUCCUUGUGCCAGAAUUGGGCAAGUAGCAGUAUUGUGAUCUGCUCCACAUUCUUCACAACUCUGCUUCACAACUUGCUUAGCAGUGGCGGUUUGUGAAAUGCUUUCAACCUUAUGGAAUAAGGAAUCUAUUUUCGCCGACAGUGCUGAGUAAGUAUCUACUUCAUACACCCCAGGUGCUCUCUUCUGAACUACUCGAUCUGUAGACCACAUAGCUGAAGUUGUAGCCAUCCUUUCAAACAACUCCCAUGCUCCAUCAAUUGUUCUUGUAGAGAUAGACCCGUCAGAUGAUGCAUCCACCAUACUCUUGAAUGAUGGGAGUAAUCCAGUGUAGAAAAAUCUGAUCUGGGUCUUCUUGUCAAAACCAUGUUGCGGGCACUUCCUUAACAUGUUCUUGAAACGGUUCCAUGCCUCUUCAAAUGACUCUGACUCGAUUUGGUUGAAUAUUGAGAUGUCAUGCCGCAUUUUAGCUACUUUAGCUGGCGAGAAGAACUUGGUGCAGAAUUUAUGAGCUAACUCGUUCCAAGUGGUAAUGCUUCCGACAGGGAGUGAAUCCAGCCAUUCGAGUGCUUUAUCCCUUAAGGUAUACGGGAACAAACGCAGUCUUAUAGCAUCAUCAGAGAUACCUUGGUAUCUGAAGUAUUGACACAUAUCAAGAAAUCGAGAUAUGUGUGUAUGAGGAUUCUCAGUAGCCAUCCCAUGGUAUUGAUACCCAUUCUGAAACAGUUGAAUCACGUUUGUCUUCAGUUGGAAGUUCGGUUGCCCAAAUGGAGGGUAUACAAUACUAGAUUGACUUUACACCACCAAUGGUGCCAUGAAAUCCCCAAGUACCGUAUUUUCAUCCUCUUCCACUGCCACACCUUCAUUGAGUGGAAUUCCCGAUCGAUUUUGCUCGUUAGCCAUUUGUUGCACCACUCUUGCUUCCCUUUGCCUGUGACGGAAUGUGCGUUCAAUCUCUGGAUCUAUAGGCACCAAGUCUUGAUUAGGUGCUCCUUGCAUGCAAGCCCUGAUAUGGCAAAAUUACACAAAAAGUCAAUAUAAAAUAACAAUUAAAUAAAUCUAGUAAAAUUAAUAAGUACUAAAAUGAAGAAGUUCGAAUUAGUGUCACAAAAGUUAGAAUUAAAUCUAAAAUUUAAUCCUCGGCAACGGCGCCAAAAACUUGUUCGCAAAAUUAUUUCUUCUCGAUUUUAAAACCCACCGCAAGUGUACGAUUCGUUAACAAGUAGUAAAAUGGACUAUGAGUCCAAGUAUCGUUCCCUCGAGGAUUGAAUUAGCUCUAAUUAAACUAAUGUGACCUUAACCGAAUCUAAUUGAAUAAAAAUUUGGUUUAAAUGUGAAAACCCUAAUUUUGGGAGAAAUCCCCAAUUUGAAACCCUAAUUGCAAAGAAAACCCUAAUUUCAAAAUUGGAAACCCUAAUUUCGAAAUUUCACUAAUCUAAUGAAAUAAACACGCAACUGAAAUGUAAAUAUGCAAUUUUAGAUAAUUUGUAUUGAAAUGAAUUGAAAUGAAAUCAUUAAGAACUUGAAUCCCCAAUUGAUUAUUAAAAAAAAACCUAAUUUCACAAAUUCAACGAAUAGAUGAACAAAAUGCCAAUUCAAUGUUCCUAAAUUAUCCAAUANNNNNNNNNNNNNNNNNNNNNNNNNNNNNNNNNNNNNNNNNNNNNNNNNNNNNNNNUAAUGUUGAAUUUAUGAAAUAACGGAAAUUUAAAUCAUCAAAAGGUUCAUCAAAUUCCUAAUGAACAAAAACCCUAGCCUAUAAUCAUCAUUGCAAAAUCAAGAAAUUGAAAAACGAAAUUAAAAGAUAAUAAGAAUACACCCGUAUGGAACUUCUUCAAUCCGUGUGUAUAAUCUUCAAUCCCGUCUCGAGCCCGUGUGAAAUUGAAUCCAAAAUCAAGUUUCUUGCCUCCAAUUUUGGUCUCUUCCUUCUCCUUGGUCGUUCCUCCACUUCAUAUGAUGAAUUUGGGUAUUUAUAUCGCGUCCAAAUUAAGUAGGAAAGGAGUUUCAACCAAAACGAAAAACUGCGCCCGAGGUUUCAAAAACGAACUAUGCGACCGCAUAGAAGGAAUCUAUGCGAUCGCAUAGUUCAAAUUAUUUGGGCUCAUUGAAUCCCUGAAACCUUCUAUGCGACCGCAUAGAAGGUUACACUAUGCGGUCGCAUAGAAGUAACCAUCUAUGUGGUUUGUUCAAUUUGGUCCCUGAACUUCUUUGUUGCUUCUCUUGACUUCUUUCUUCGAUUUCUUCAUCUUUUUAACAAAUUUUAUCUUUCAAUUGAUGAUUGAUACCAUCAAUUCUAAUGCCCCUCAUUCGGCACAUCUUUUUAGUAUUUACGCUUUAGUCCUCCAACUUUCAAUUGUCUUCAUUUCAGUCCCUCUUCAAUAUUUUCUUCUUCCAUUUGUUUUGCUUUGUCAUUGAGCUCAUACUUGGCAUGUUUUCACUCUCGUUUUUCAUUUAGCUCAACUUUUCAAUAUUUGCACCUUUGGUCCUCGAACUAUCAAAUUGUUGCGUUUUGGUCCUUCUUCGGCUCUUUUCUCCUGAAUUCCACAAUUUCCAUUGAAUUACUUACAAUGCAUGAAUUUAACUGGAUUAAGUCACAAUUCAACCAUUUUAUCCAUGUUUAAGUCAUGUUUAUGAACCAAAUAAGUGUGUAAAAACACACUUAUCAUGUCGCGAGGUGGAAAUCUGCGAAAAAGGAACACCGAAGGAAGAAAGAUGUUUAAAUGGGUUUUCGACUGGAUUUGGGCCUCUUGCUAUAAUUGAGAUUUUCUCCUCAUCAAAUAGGACAUACCGUGAGAUGUAUAGCCUUUUAGUGGAUGGGUCCAUGCAUUUAUAGGCAUUUUGAGUUUGUGAGUAUCCUAAAAAAAUGCAAGGUACAGAUUUGGGCUGUAGUUUGUGAGUAUUAUAUGGCUUUGUGAGAGGAUAACAAAGAUACCCAAAUUUCUUAAGUUUGAGGUAAUUUAGUUUUUGUCCAAAAAGAGCCUCAAAUGGUGACUUAUUUUGAAGAAGUGGAGUGGGUUGAAGAUUUAUGAGAUAUACGGCUGUUUGGAAUGCAUGUGGCCAAUAAUCAAGUGGUAGGAAAGCAUCAUGAAGAAGAGUGAGUCCUGUUUCCACAAGGUGACGAUGACGUCGUUCAGAAACACCAAUUUGUUGGGGUGUAUAUGGUGCAGUGGUGUAAUGACUUAUGCCAUGUAAAGAAAGACAGUUUUUUAAACCUAUGAAUUCACCACCAUUACCUGAAUACAAACUCUUUAUCUUAGAGUUGAAGCGUUUUUCAACAAUAUUUUUGAAUUGCGGAAAUAUAGUAGACAUGCUUAAUUUUGCAACCAUUGGAUAAAGCUAUAUGUAUUUCGUAUAAUGGUCGACAAGAAUAAGAUAAUAACAAGAUCCAUUAAGACCAAUAUGGUGUGUGGGUCCCCAGACAUCGGUGUAAAUAAUAUCAAGAGGAGCAUGACUUUGAAAACUCGUUGAACGAAAUGGUUGUUGACGUGCUUUAUUCAUAAAACAAGAAGUACAUGAAGAUGAUAUUUUUUUUUGUGGUAAGCGGAAGAGAGAAUUGAUUAACAAGAUUUUGAACAACUUUAAUGGAUGGGUGUCCAAGAUGUUUAUGUCAUCCAUCAAGAGAAGUUCGUUCAUGCACAUUGGCCACCAUUUGUUGAGUUGAAGUCACCGGUGAUUUAGGAAACACAUAGACACCAUUCUCACAUGCACCUCUUAGUAAUAUCGCCCUCGUGUUCCGUUCCUUCACAAGAAAAUGAAAUGGGUGAAAUUCAACAAAGACGUUAUUAUGUUUUGUAAAGUAAUGAACAGAAAUUAAAUUCUUGCGAAUAUUUGGGACGCAAAGGGUGUCACUCAAGAUAAAGAUUUUUUUUGGUGAGUGUAAGGUUAGAGAACCAACAUGUGAGAUAGUCAAACCUGUACCAUUUCUAAGGACAACUUCAUCAGUUCCAUCAUAUUCAGAAUGAAUGGAUAAAUUUGUGAGAUCACCCGUGAUAUAGUGAGAGGCUGCCAAAUCAAUGAGCCAUUUAUUUUCAUUUGUAUUUGAUGAAGUAGCACAAUUUACCGUCACUUCAUUUUGCUGUAACUAUGGACAGGCUUUGGCAGUAUGGCCCAACUGAUCACAGAGCUGGCACUUUGGCUGGAAGCGUCGUUGGGUUGUGUUGAAUGUUCCCGAGUUUUGAUUUGGUCAGCGUUGAUCUCUACCGUUGAAUGGGCGAUAAGAGGAUUGCUGCUUUGAUUGCCCAUUUGAUUUGUUGAAGCUCUUUGACUGUUGUCCUCCAAAGCUUCCAUUUCUUUAACUAGUAAAGUUUGCAGCAGCUACAAUUUGUCGAGUUGUAGCUUCCAUUCUUCUCAAAUAGCUUUCAUACCCCACUAGUAGAUCAUGAAGUUCCUCAAAAGCCAGGGAUUUUUCCAUAGCCCGAAUGGGAGCAGCUAUUUCACGAAAAUCAAGUCCCAAUCCGUUGAGAACGUAAAGGGUGAUUCAUCGUCGGAAAUCGGAUGAUCGAUGAGUGCGAUUUCGUCGGCGAGAGCUUUUACAGCAUGUAAGUAGUCUGGAAUCGAUCGAUUCCCACGCUGGAUCAAGGUGAGUUCUUCCUUGAGUUGCAUAGCCCUUGUAGGUGAUUUACUAGCAUACAAAGUCGAUAAUUUUUUCCAAGCCUCCUGUGAAGUCUUGGCAAAGGAAAUGAGCGGAGUAAUUGUUGUGGAUGUUGAUGCUAAGAUAGCACUUAGGAUUAGUUUGUCUUGUCUAACCCAACGAUUUUUUUUUUUUAGAUGGAUGAUGGGGUGCCAUCAGAGGAUGGACAUACAGAACCUCCAUUCACAUAAUCCAUCAGGUCAUACUCGAUUAAAAGGGCUUCAAAUUGAGCACGCCACUAUGGAAAUGUAGAGGGUGUAAGCUUCUCAUUGAUUUGGGCAGUAAUGUUGAAAACAACAAGGGGUGUGUCUGUAGAGGAGGACAGAUGUGGGUUUAGGUUGCUUGAGAAAGACAUGGCUGAUUUGGGAUCAAGUUUCUCGUUAGAGAUUUGAAGCUCUGAUACCAUGUAGGAGAAUAAGACACAAGGCACUUUCAAUGAGAAUUUUGAACACACACUUUUCAUUGAUCAUGUUGGUUAAUUUAUAUAGACAUUUAAUUCUACCUAAGGAAAUGUACAGCAAUUACAAAUCACUAAAUUUACUUUCAUUGCAAAGAAUAAAUCUCAUGAUUCUGGGCCAAACUGAUGCAUAGAUGGAGUGAUUCUGGCCAAACUAAUUGCAUAGAUAGAGUUGCUGAUUUUAUGAUUUUUGAAUUCCUUGAUUUGUGUCAUCUUCCCUUAUGAGUUUAUGAUUUUUUAUUUUAUUUUAUUAAUUAAGAAGUUUGUCAAAUCGUUUUCCUCUACAACUUUUCCAUAAUAUAAUUAGUUGAAAUUUGGUGAAAUACGGGCUUGAAUUUGAAAAAAGCUGGGGACGAUACUUUUCACACUCAAAAUGAUCAAUUAAUGGAAGUAGAUACUAAAACGAUCGUGGUUGACCCAUUGAAGCCGAAGAAAGAUAAAUUCCCAAGUAACACAGCAGCCCAAAAAUCCAUUUGUUGUAGCGUAGCAAAUAAAGAGGAAAAGUUGGCUUGAAAAGAAAGUGAAUCAUCGCCAUGUGCCAAAGGCAAUGUUGAUGAACCCUUGGAUUCGAAAGGGACAAAAACGUGAGCAUCACUUUUGUUUCUUUUUGCUCCUUUCCUUCUUAUCGCUCUACUUUUCCAUAUUUACGAUAUACCUACUGCUUCUCUGCUCAGAGUGAACAGGAAGAGUACGGCAAUGGAGGUUGAGACUAUUUGGGAGACCAAGUUUGCGAUUGAUUUGAUGGUGAGAUGCGUUAAAAUAUUGAUUAUCUUUUUUCUGGCGAUUUUUUGGUUUUGAUUUCUUUACUGCGAAUUUUGAAGAUGGUUACAUUUUAAUAGGCUCCUCCGCCCUUGCCUUCAUCCACUGAAAGAGAUGGUUUGGUUUGUAUGGUGUUCGAUCCUAAAUGUACGACCCAGAAUGUUCAAAAGGUGUGUCAUCUCUCCUGCCUCUUUCUAGAAUAUUAUUUUAUUUUUAUAAUUUUACUGAAUAUUUUCCUCUUGUUCUAUGAUUCAGAAGAGUGAGACUCAUGAAUUGGAUGAUCCAUUAGCAGUUAUAAUGCAACCCGAAGAGGAAAAAAUCGGAAUAAUUGGUGUUAAGCAAAAAUUGCCAAACCUUGAUACAGAGAAGCCUUAUCCUGAAAUUUCAAGUAGCAUUGGCCCUAGUAAAUCACAACAGCAGGGUGGGAACGAUCAGAAAAUUCGAUGUAAAGUCCUCCAGAAUUAAAUUUCUAAUGUAAUUGGGUUGUCCUUUUCGUAGUACAAUCUUCCUUAUUACCUUUCCCAAUUGCUACGAGUAGCUGGCUUGGUGUUCUUCCUCAUUCGGGGUGUGAAUUCUCUACCUACUACGUCCUCUAUCAUUUUUCCAGUUGGCAUGGCCCAUUGUUCAACAAGUUAUAUUCAGACUUGUGCCUUCUCUGUAGACAGUCAAUACCAUAAAUGGAAGUACAAGAUCUUCAACCGCAUUUCAAGUGUCUUUUCUUCUUUCCUUUGGUGAUUUUUUUACUUGUUCUGACAUGAUUUUUUUUUGCUUCCUCUUUAUCCCAUUUUAUUUUUAUUUUUUUGAAUUCUUUAAUUAAUUUGCCUUAAUUUGUACUGAACGUGGGAAUGUGCAGCUACCUCCUUUUGAUCUCUCACAGCCUCGGUCAAAGAUAUGCACAACACAUCAGUAUAUUGCACUGAACAUUCGUUAUCAUCAGCAACUUACCGAGAAGGCUCUGUGGUCUGGUGCAGCUGCUCCUACUUUAUGUGGAGCGAAGACAUUAAAUCUUAAUUCUAUGCAACAAACAGAGAAGUUGAUACUUGGAAACCUGUUACGAGCAGACUAUUUUCCAGGAGGUCAGAAUUCUACAAUUAAAGGAGACAACGGAAAAGAUAAAAGCUUGGAAGCUGUUGCAAGUUUGGAUAAAUCGAAAAGCAGAAAGCAUGUCCUUCAACAAGAUCCACCGCAAGUCCCUGCUGGUAAGUUGCACUGUCCAUAAUUUUUAUUAGUUGAUAAAUCUUAUUUUGAGUUGCUGGAUUACAAUGACGAAAAUUUAGAAGAUUUAUUGUAAUAUUCUCAUUGUCUUGUAGCAUGGCCCUGCUUUUAUCUUUCCACUUGAUCAUCGUCAAGCAGUCACCAAUAAUCAAUCCGGAACUUUUCAAUCUGAUUCUAUCAUCGGCAACACAUCUUUGUCUACUAAUUUAGCUGCGGGACUCCUUUUAGUGAGCUUUAAUUAUUCAAAAUUCCCUUCCAAUGAAGCUCCCCUAUUCAAUUCCAACAACAUUGAAAUUCCUCCUCCUACAGGAACACAGGUCCCAAUUGUGCCUUUUCUCAAUGGUUAUUAUUAUUUGCCACCGUUCAUUUUUCCUCAAAGUCAGCCACUGUUGUCCCAUUCUCAUGUUCUAGUCCAAUCAGCUCCACAAGAUACUAGCACAUCCAGUGAUGCCUCAUCCCACAAGUCGCAACAUGGUGACCAACAAACUGGUAUUAAAAUCAACAUCAAUAAUUUUCUUAUGCCAACAGUGCAUUUAGAGAAGCAGCAACACCUGCCAUCCCAUUCAUCUGGCAAGUUUGACACAGAUAUCAGUAGGAAAAGUAAUGCAGCAGUCGCCAAUAACUUAGUAUCUCAAUCUCUAAAUACAAAUAGUGGCCCGAACUUUUUAAUUCCAAUUCCAUCAACGAAUUUUGCCUUGAUUCCUCUCGUGAAAUUGAGUGGUGGUGCAAUAGGCAAUAAACCUGGUGAUCCACAAAAACAGGGGUCUAAUGGUAAAGUUGACACCAUCCAUCAGGCAUUUUCUUUGUCCUUGGUUCUGAUGCUUCUACGACUCCGAAAAUUAACUUAUCGUCCAUGGCACAAAAUUUUGCAAUCUUUCAAAUGUUUCAUGAUAAGGCUCAGUAUGGGUAUCAGAUGGCAUCUGUUGCUAAAAUGGUGCAACAACAUAAGAAUUCGUUGAUACCUGAAUGAAAAACUAUACCUAGUUCAAAUAAUACUGAAGAUGGACAGAGUGUUAGCUUGUGGAAGCUCCAAACAAGUGGUGUUCAAUCUCUUGCGGGAAUUUCUGUUUUUGAUGGUUCAACUCAAACAGUCAAUUUUUUCCCUAUACCUGUUGUUGGAAAUCCUUUUGGAAAUCCUGUUGUUGGAAAUCAACCUUUUCGUUCAUCAGCUGCAAUCACAUCUUUGGUUUCUAUCAACACACUGAAUUCUCGACAGCAACAGUAGCUAGCUCAUCUUCAUAAGCAGCAAAUGCAGCUGAGUGGUACAGCUCAAAUUAAGGAACCAACAUGUUUCCCUGGUUCUAUUGUUACUAGCAGUGUCCCAAAUAACAAUUGUGUUUAUUCACAAAUUUCUGUGUAUCAGAAUAAUUCAUCUGUAUCUAGUCAAUGGCAGAACAUUGCUAGAAUAACAGUUCCAGGAAUUUCAUCUGUGUCUGCUACUUCAAGCCUUGCAAACAUUCCUCAGCGACAACCAAGAAAUUCUCAAGGCCAGACACAGAUAUCUUUUAGGAGUGGUUUAUUCUCAGAUUCAUCAUUUCAAGGACAACUGACUGCUGCAAACAAUCCAGCAGCAUCCUUAGUAGUUGGGUCGCCAUCUAAUUCUCCCGUUUUGAAAAACAUGGAGCCUUCUCCAAAUAGGCCAAGCCAGAAGUCCUUCCC
rnacentral:lncRNA from 1 species